rnacentral:piRNA from 1 species
UAGAACAGCUGACACAGGUCCCUUCCAU